rnacentral:rRNA from 1 species
GCGGCCCGCGUCCUGCGGCCAUCGCAUCUACCCUUCACUGUACGAGCACCUUUUCGUUCUCCUUCGGCGGGGCAACCUGCCGCUGGAACCAACAACCAAACCUUUUAUUAACAGCAUUACCCGUUCCGAUACCAACAAUCAAUUACAACUUUCAACAAUGGAUCUCUUGGCUCUGGCAUCGAUGAAGAACGCAGCGAAAUGCGAUAAGUAGUGUGAAUUGCAGAAUUCAGUGAAUCAUCGAAUCUUUGAACGCACAUUGCGCCCCUUGGUAUUCCAUGGGGCAUGCCUGUUCGAGCGUCAUCUACAACCCUCAAGCCCCUGGCUUGGUGUUGGGUGUCUGUCACGCCUCCGCGCGGAGACUCGCCCCAAAUUCAUUGGCGGCGGCCCUUGCCUCCCUCUCGCGCAGCACAUUGCGCUUCUCGAGGCGUCGCGGGCCGCGCUCCACGAAGCACGCAAACCAGUCUUUGACCUCGGAUCAGGUAGGGAUACCCGCUGAACUUAAGCAUAU